UUGGUUUUUGUGUAGUUGUCGUUGGAUCAUCGUCAGAACUAACAUUAUAAUCACUAUCGAUUAUAAUUUCGCAUAUAUUAAUUUGUAAAAUGGAAAGAAGUAUUAAAAAGAUGAAGAAACUAUUUGGUGUCUUUCUGUUGUGCAUCUGAAAAUAAAAGUAAAUCAAUAUUCAAUAUUAGAAAAAUAGGAGAACGGAUUUCUGACA
ensembl:ncRNA K10D6.11 ncRNA